rnacentral:rRNA from 1 species
AUUGAACGCCGGCGGAAUGCUUUACACAUGCAAGUCGAACGGCAGCACGGGGGCAACCCUGGUGGCGAGUGGCGAACGGGUGAGUAAUACAUCGGAACGUGCCCAGUCGUGGGGGAUAACGUAGCGAAAGUUACGCUAAUACCGCAUACGAUCUACGGAUGAAAGCGGGGGACCGUAAGGCCCCGCGCGAUUGGAGCGGCCGAUGUCAGAUUAGGUAGUUGGUGAGGUAAAGGCUCACCAAGCCGACGAUCUGGAGCUGGUCUGAGGGGACGACCAGCCACGAUGGGAAUGAGACAAGGCCCAGACUCCAACGGGAGGCAGAAGUGGGGAAUUUUGGACAAUGGGCGCAAGCGUGAUCCAGCCAUUCCGCGUGCAGGACGAAGGCCUUCGGGUUGUAAACUGCUUUUGUACGGAACGAAAAGGCUCUGGUUAAUACCUGGGGCUCAUGACGGUACCGUAAGAAUAAGCACCGGCUAACUACGUGCCAGCCGCCGCGGUAA